UACGGAGGGUGCAAGCGUUAUCCGGAUUCACUGGGUUUAAAGGGCGCGUAGGCGGCUCGCGAGGUCGGGGGUGAAAUCCCACGGCUUAACCGUGGAAGGGCCUUCGAUACCGGCGGGCUCGAGGAAGGUAGGGGUGCGCGGAACUUCUGGUGGAGCGGUGAAAUGCGUUGAUAUCGGAAGGAACGCCGGCGGCGAAAGCGGCGCACUGGAUCUUUUCUGACGCUGAGGCGCGAAAGCCAGGGGAGCAAACGGG
rnacentral:rRNA from 1 species